rnacentral:rRNA from 1 species
AGAGUGAACGCUGGCGGCGUGCCUAAUACAUGCAAGUCGAACGAUGAAGCUUUUAGCUUGCUAGAAGUGGAUUAGUGGCGCACGGGCGAGUAAUGCAUAGGUUAUGUGCCCUUUAGUCUAGGAUAGCCACUGGAAACGGUGAUUAAUACUGGAUACUCCCUACGGGGGAAAGUUUUUCGCUAAAGGAUCAGCCUAUGUCCUAUCAGCUUGUUGGUGAGGUAAUGGCUCACCAAGGCUAUGACGGGUAUCCGGCCUGAGAGGGUGAACGGACACACUGGAACUGAGACACGGUCCAGACUCCUACGGGAGGCAGCAGUAGGGAAUAUUGCUCAAUGGGGGAAACCCUGAAGCAGCAACGCCGCGUGGAGGAUGAAGGUUUUAGGAUUGUAAACUCCUUUUGUGAGAGAAGAUUAUGACGGUAUCUCACGAAUAAGCACCGGCUAACUCCGUGCCAGCAGCCGCGGUAAUACGGAGGGUGCAAGCGUUACUCGGAAUCACUGGGCGUAAAGAGUGCGCAGGCGGGUAGUCAAGUCAGAUGUGAAAUCCUAUAGCUUAACUAUAGAACUGCAUUUGAAACUGAUUAUCUAGAGUGUGGGAGAGGUAGGUGGAAUUCUUGGUGUAGGGGUAAAAUCCGUAGAGAUCAAGAGGAAUACUCAUUGCGAAGGCGACCUGCUAGAACGUAACUGACGCUGAUGC